CCUCUUGUCAGUUUUGCGAACACACACGCACAUAUUAUAUGAUAUUGCGUGUUUCCUCUCUCACGGCCCUUCCUUUGGCCGUCUGUAGCUUUUCUCAGUGAGUCGUGUUGAAGUGAGCAUCAGCUCCUGUUGUCAGUGUCCUCUCAGCUCAGCGUGAUGAUAAAAACACUCUGUGUGACCGUUAGCGGCUCCCGCUGAAUCCCUUUGAUUCCCACUGACUGUGCAGGCUGCUCCGCUCCUUAUCCACUCAUUAUCCGCUCGUUAUCUGCCAGGAACGCCACCGAGUCCCUGGAAGAUCACUGACAUCCUGUCAGUCAGCCGCUCGCUUUCAGCCGCUACAUGUCAGCCAAUCCAAUCCGUUAUUACCCAUCCAUGGCAGGGCUUCACCUUCUCAGGUGUUUUUCAUCGUGAGCUCUGAUUGGACGGUUGUUGGAAAGCAGGAACUUCAGUCACGCACAGAUGUUGGAUCAGAUUUCGUCUUCAUCUGAUCCAAGCACACAAAUGAAGUAAACUCAUCUUAAACACAGCGGGCUUAAAGGAUUCAGAUGAACCGAAUCACCACAGAAACACCUUUAACCACCAGGAAGAGUCAGGACUCAAAGGAUCCGGUUACCGACAGCAUCAGGACUGAAAUAAUCAGGACUCAUACGAUCCAGAGGACGGUGAAACUUUGUGUCUUCGUGACGCAAACGAACGCGUUGACAUGAUGGUGACGGCGUCAGUCAGCAGGUAAGUCAUCUCACACCUCUGAGGUGUGAAGAACAGACGAGUGAGAAUCUGUCAGACGGGCCGUCACAGGAACACACACACACACACACACACACACACACACACACACGCCGGACCAACGAGCGACCACGAUGGACCGUCAAAAACUAACAACAUCGAUGGCAUCGUAAGACACAAAACUAGCAUAACACGGUUACAGGUUUGUCCAAUACACUAAGCAAAUACAUCAACAAACAGAACCAAGACAGGAAAUGAGCAGUCGUACUCUGUCCACCCGAGCGUGUCGUUAUAGAAUAUAUACAGUACACUGCUCUGAAAAACAAGCGUAGAUAUUAAUGAAAUGUUC
rnacentral:lncRNA from 1 species